rnacentral:rRNA from 1 species
CCUACGGGUGGCAGCAGUGAGGAAUAUUGGUCAAUGGACGAGAGCCUGAACCAGCCAAGUAGCGUGAAGGAUGACUGCCCUAUGGGUUGUAAACUUCUUUUAUAUGGGAAUAAAGUGUUCCACGUGUGGGAUUUUGUAUGUACCAUAUGAAUAAGGAUCGGCUAACUCCGUGCCAGCAGCCGCGGUAAUACGGAGGAUCCGGGCGUUAUCCGGAUUUAUUGGGUUUAAAGGGAGAGUAGGUGGAUUGUGAAGGCAGUUGUGAAAGGUUGCGGCUCAACCCUGAAAUUGCAGUGGAAACUGGCAGUCUUGAGUACAGGAGAGGUGGGCGGAAUUCGUGGUGUAGCGGUGAAAUGCUUAGAUAUCACGAAGAACUCCGAUUGCGAAGGCAGUUCACUGGACUGCAACUGACGCUGAGGCUCGAAAGUGUGGGUAUCAAACAGGAUUAGAUACCCGGGUAGUC